rnacentral:rRNA from 1 species
GACGAACGCGGGCGGCGUGCUUAACACAUGCAAGUCGAACGGUGAAGCGCCUUCCUUUUGGUGGGUGUGGAUAAGUGGCGAACGGGUGAGUAACACGUGAGUAACCUGCCCCCUUCUUCUGGAUAACCGCAUGAAAGUGUGGCUAAUACGGGAUAUUCUGGGUCUGUCGCAUGGCGGGUCUGGGAAAGAUGCGCCUUUGGGUGUUUUCGGUGGGGGAUGGGCUCGCGGCCUAUCAGCUUGUUGGUGGGGUGAUGGCCUACCAAGGCGGUGACGGGUAGCCGGCCUGAGAGGGUGGACGGUCACACUGGGACUGAGACACGGCCCAGACUCCUACGGGAGGCAGCAGUGGGGAAUAUUGCACAAUGGGCGCAAGCCUGAUGCAGCGACGCCGCGUGAGGGAUGGAGGCCUUCGGGUUGUAAACCUCUUUCGCCAGUGAAGCAGGCCUGCUCCUUGUGGGUGGGUUGACGGUAGCUGGAUAAGAAGCGCCGGCUAACUACGUGCCAGCAGCCGCGGUAAUACGUAGGGCGCGAGCGUUGUCCGGAAUUAUUGGGCGUAAAGAGCUCGUAGGCGGCUGGUCGCGUCUGUCGUGAAAUCCUCUGGCUUAACUGGGGGCUUGCGGUGGGUACGGGCCGGCUUGAGUGCGGUAGGGGAGACUGGAACUCCUGGUGUAGCGGUGGAAUGCGCAGAUAUCAGGAAGAACACCGGUGGCGAAGGCGGGUUUCUGGGCCGUUACUGACGCUGAGGAGCGAAAGCGUGGGGAGCGAACAGG